rnacentral:rRNA from 1 species
CUGCGAAUGGCUCAUUAUAUAAGUUAUCGUUUAUUUGAUAGUACCUUACUACUUGGAUAACCGUGGUAAUUCUAGAGCUAAUACAUGCUAAAAAUCCCGACUUCGGAAGGGAUGUAUUUAUUAGAUUAAAAACCAAUGCCCNUCUGGGCUCUCUGGUGAUUCAUGAUAACUUCUCGAAUCGCAUGGCCUUGCGCCGGCGAUGGUUCAUUCAAAUUUCUUCCCUAUCAACUUUCGAUGUUUGGGUAGUGGCCAAACAUGGUUGCAACGGGUAACGGAGGGUUAGGGCUCGACCCCGGAGAAGGAGCCUGAGAAACGGCUACUACAUCCAAGGAAGGCAGCAGGCGCGCAAAUUACCCAAUCCCGAUUCGGGGAGGUAGUGACAAUAAAUACUGAUACAGGGCUCUUUUGGGUCUUGUAAUUGGAAUGAGUACAAUUUAAAUCCCUUAACGAGGAACAAUUGGAGGGCAAGUCUGGUGCCAGCAGCCGCGGUAAUUCCAGCUCCAAUAGCGUAUAUUAAAGUUGUUGUGGUUAAAAAGCUCGUAGUUGAACCUUGGGCCUGGCUGGCCGGUCCGCCUCACCGCGUGUACUGGUCCGGCCGGGCCUUUCCCUCUGUGGAACCCCAUGCCCUUCACUGGGUGUGGCGGGGAAACAGGACUUUUACUUUGAAAAAAUUAGAGUGCUCCAGGCAGGCCUAUGCUCGAAUACAUUAGCAUGGAAUAAUAAAAUAGGACGUGUGGUUCUAUUUUGUUGGUUUCUAGGACCGCCGUAAUGAUUAAUAGGGACAGUCGGGGGCAUCAGUAUUCAAUUGUCAGAGGUGAAAUUCUUGGAUUUAUUGAAGACUAACUACUGCGAAAGCAUUUGCCAAGGAUGUUUUCAUUAAUCAGGAACGAAAGUUAGGGGAUCGAAGACGAUCAGAUACCGUCGUAGUCUUAACCAUAAACUAUGCCGACUAGGGAUCGGACGAUGUUAUUUUNUUGACUCGUUCGGCACCUUACGAGAAAUCAAAGUGCUUGG